rnacentral:rRNA from 1 species
UACGAAGGACCCGAGCGUUAUCCGGAUUUAUUGGGUUUAAAGGGUGCGUAGGCGGACACGCAAGUCAGUGGUGAAAUCCCUCAGCUUAACUGAGGAACUGCCAUUGAAACUAUGUGUCUUGAGUACAUUUGAGGCGGGCGGAAUGUGUCAUGUAGAGGUGAAAUUCUUAGAUAUGACACAAAACACCAAUUGCGAAGGCAGCUCGCUAAACUGUAACUGACGCUGAGGCACGAAAGCGUGGGGAUCAAACAGG